rnacentral:lncRNA from 1 species
CAAAUAGCUCCUCAGGUCAGCUCUCUGUGUAUUAUGGCUGCUAAAGAAGGUAGCUGCAAAAAAUUUCAGAGACUUCUUUAAGGUGUAUUCUUUUAUCCCAGGCCCCCUGAUCGUUGAUAUUGCACUUUAAAGAUUUUUACAUUCUUUUGCAGGUGCUUCUAACAUGACACAACCUCAGGCAUUGGUGGAAAUUUCUCUUUUGAGGGGGUUCUGGCAGUCAUCUCUAUGUCAAGUUUUCAAACCGUACCCAGUUGUUCAGUAAGAUUUUUGAAAAGUAUGAACAAAGGCUUGCACAGCCUUCUGCAGACCAUGUCAAUCUUUAUUUCAUCCCUCACACAGAGGAGGAGCUCCUUGUGGAAAUGUCUCAGCUUCCUCUCCUGCAGCACCAGGGAGAUGUGGUAGUUCAAACCUUGAGAACACACAGUUUUUCACUCCUCCAAAUAAACUUCAGUUGACUCACCUUCUCCA